GGAUUUAUUUUGAGAUAUGGAUUAUUGAAGGUGUUAGUUUGUGUGAUGUUGGAAAUUUGAAGUUCAUGAAGUAAGUGAGGAUUGGGUAAGAAUAUGAGCUUAUGAGAUUGUAGGUAUCAUAGUUGAUGGAUUAAAAUGAUGAUUAGAGAUGAUUGAUAAAGAUUAUGAUGAAUUGGUUUGAUGGGAAAUAAGGCAUACUUGGCUAUAUGCUUAAGAUUGGCUAAUUGAUGAGUUAAUUGGCUAGCUUACAAAGCUAC
rnacentral:lncRNA from 1 species